AGCGAACGCUGGCGGCAGGCUUAACACAUGCAAGUCGAGCGGGCACUUUCGGGUGUCAGCGGCGGACGGGUGAGUAACGCGUGGGAACGUGCCCUCUGGUUCGGAAUAACUCAGGGAAACUUGAGCUAAUACCGGAUACGCCCUUUUGGGGAAAGGCUUGCUGCCGGAGGAUCGGCCCGCGUCUGAUUAGCUGGUUGGUGAGGUAACGGCUCACCAAGGCGACGAUCAGUAGCUGGUCUGAGAGGAUGAUCAGCCACACUGGGACUGAGACACGGCCCAGACUCCUACGGGAGGCAGCAGUGGGGAAUAUUGGACAAUGGGCGCAAGCCUGAUCCAGCCAUGCCGCGUGAGUGAUGAAGGCCUUAGGGUUGUAAAGCUCUUUUAUCCGGGACGAUAAUGACGGUACCGGAGGAAUAAGCCCCGGCUAACUUCGUG
rnacentral:rRNA from 1 species